rnacentral:rRNA from 1 species
AACGAACGCUGGCGGCAUGCCUAACACAUGCAAGUCGAACGAGACCUUCGGGUCUAGUGGCGCACGGGUGCGUAACGCGUGGGAACCUGCCCUUAGGUUCGGAAUAACUCCCCGAAAGGGGUGCUAAUACCGGAUAAUGUCUUCGGACCAAAGAUUUAUCGCCUUUGGAUGGGCCCGCGUUGGAUUAGCUAGUUGGUAGGGUAAAAGCCUACCAAGGCGACGAUCCAUAGCUGGUCUGAGAGGAUGAUCAGCCACACUGGGACUGAGACACGGCCCAGACUCCUACGGGAGGCGGCAGGGGGGAAUAUUGGACAAGGGGCGAAAGCCUGAUCCAGCAAUGCCGCGUGAGUGAUGAAGGCCUUAGGGUUGUAAAGCUCUUUUACCCGGGAUGAUAAUGACAGUACCGGGAGAAUAAGCUCCGGCUAACUCCGUG